rnacentral:rRNA from 1 species
CGGAUUGUAGUCUGCAACUCGACUACAUGAAGCUGGAAUCGCUAGUAAUCGCGGAUCAGAAUGCCGCGGUGAAUACGUUCCCGGGUCUUGUACACACCGCCCGUCACACCAUGGGAGUUGGGAAUGCCCGAAGCCGGUGACCUAACCGAGAGGGAGGAGCCGUCGAAGGCAGGUCUGAUGACUGGGGUGAAGUCGUAACAAGGUAUC